rnacentral:rRNA from 1 species
GACGGAGGAUGCAAGCGUUAUCCGGAAUUAUUGGGCGUAAAGCGUCCGCAGGUGGCUGUUCAAGUCUGCUGUCAAAGCGCAGAGCUUAACUCUGUACAGGCGGUGGAAACUGGAGCGCUAGAGUGCGGUAGGGGUAGAGGGAAUUCCCGGUGUAGCGGUGAAAUGCGUAGAGAUCGGGAAGAACAUCGGUGGCGAAAGCGCUCUACUGGACCGCAACUGACACUCAGGGACGAAAGCUAGGGGAGCGAAUGGG